CCGUCCGAUCCUGUAGUUGCCACUCGGAAAUAUCAGCCGUGCGCUAAUUGGUUCGUCGCUCGCGAAAUCAACGCCGCCCUCCGCCGACUCCUCUCCGUCCGCCGCCCUCCCCAUCCUCUCUGCAGAGCGUGAUCCGCGGCCCCCCUCCUCCGUCGCGCGCGAUCCAUGCGUACGGGAGCCUCUCCGACUACCCCAAGCCGCGGGCCCCCUCCUCCGCCGCGAGCGGAGGCCCCGCUACGAGCCGCGCCGUCCUCCACACCGGCCGUAAUCUCCGUGGUCCCCGCACGCACGCAUGCUCCUCUGCUUUCUCGGUUUCUCCUCCGGGCACACAGCUCCAUCGCAUGGCCGCCACCUCCACGUCGUCGUCCUCACCACGUUCGGAUCGCGCGGCCGCCGCCGCCGUCCUCGCCGUGCCUAGAUCACCACUGCGCCGCCUCGGGUCAACAACGCCAUCCCCGCCGCGGCCUUCCUCGGGUCGACAUCAAGCGCCGCCCCGCGCGCCCGGAUCUGGUGACCCCCAUCAAGGGAGCGGCGGCAUCGCGAACCGCAUCAGGGGAGCGGCGGCAUCCCGAACUUGCUAGAGGUAGCCAUCUCCAUCCACGCUUGCGGAAGACGACGGCCUCCUCCUCCUGCUGCCUCAAAUCGAAGCUUCGCCGGGCCACCGUUAUUCAUGGGACACAUUCACCACACAUCCGCACGCCAUUAGUAGCCUGGUGAGGGCCCCAGGUUUUCCUCUGCCUUUCCCCUAGACUUCUGAUUCUGAUUAGGAAUCUACUCGCAAUAGGGGUUUGAUUAUAUUUGUACCUUAGGAUGUUGUGUUUUUCUUGUCAGAUAGGUGUUUGAUAAAAUGACCAUGUACAUUCAUACUCGCUGCUGCCGUAUCCUCACUGUGCCUACUAAAUUCACUUUCUCAUUGCUUAUAUAAACCUGAUUUGUACUGGCUGCUGCAGUCCCUAAUUUUUAACAGAAUAUGAGGCAUCGAGGUGUUGCGCCACUACGUGGAGUGCGGCUGCACUCUGACGAGUUUCGUGAAUCAGAUUUAAGGAAGGAGAGAGGAUACAUGAUGGAGGGUGGCAGAUUGUCAGCGAGAAAAAGCACCAUGGAAGACUGCAGAAGUUUUAUUUCAGUUUUCUAAUUAAAGAUCUAAAAACAAUAGACUGAUAAUUAAUGUGGUAUGUUAAAAAUGGCAUUCGCUGAGUUUCCCCUUAAUACUCUGAUUCAGUUGAAGGGAGUGACAUAAGUUUUUGACAUGGUAUGCCAAUCCAUUUUUGCAUGUAGGCACCACAUCUCUACUACUACUACAAUACAUAAUUUUGCUGCUGGAUACCACCUCACUGUUUAAUUAUUGUUAUAUUUCGUAUCCUCAAUACUGGAUUAUUGAAACCAGAGGGAAGCAUCCUUUCAGUUGAGGGAUAGACAUGCUACGAUGUAGUUAGAGAUGUCGGUAUUACAACCUAUUUGUCAGGUUUGACCACAGCAAAUAUGGAGAGCGGAAAUCAGUAAUUCACUUGAUCAAAGCCUUGGAAUUUGGAAGAGUCAGGUUCAGUUUUGU